UUGAUUAGUUAGAGAAAUAUUAGGAAAUCAUAAAAUUAGUUAAGGAAAUAAUCUAAUCUUAAAAUUAGAUUUGGAAAGUAUCCGGUGUAUGUAUUCAAACCCAAUUUAAUAUCCAAUUUUGAAAUAUCCAAUUGUUAAAAUUGGGUUAAUUUUUUAAUUUUGACCCGACCCGUAUUCCUUUGUACUUCUCUUUUACUAAUAUAGAGAUUUGAG
rnacentral:lncRNA from 1 species